rnacentral:pre_miRNA from 1 species
UCAAUACUCCCUCCAUCCGAAAAUACUUGUCAUCAAAAUGGAUAAAAGUGGAUGUAUCUAGAACUAAAAUACGUCUAGAUACAUCUCCGUUUAUCCAUUUUGAUGACAAGUAUUUCCGGACGGAGGGAGUACUAA